CAUAUCACUGAUAUGGUGUUCAUAUAUAUAGGCCAGUCUGCUUGACAAGUUGCUUGUCAUAUUCCCUGUUUGAUUCAUUUGGUCGUGUGGAAAAGUGAUGGCAAUCUUGGGAUGGCUGUUACACCUUCAGACAAAAUUCCCAAAACUGAUUUGUUACUUCUAGUGCAGAGGUAAUUUCCUCUCCUUAUAUCACCAAAAUCUUUUCUCAUAUAG
rnacentral:lncRNA from 1 species